CUGUAGUUUGUGGUACAGGCCUUAGGCCCCCUCUUUUUGGGGUCCUUUGGGCACUUGGUAGCUCGAUUGCAGUUCCUGCCCUCCUUGAGAGACAGCCACGUGUUCCCCAGCUGAGUCCCUGGGGACGAGUACCCUGGCACUUGGCCAGCCCUUGCUCUGCGCCCCCGCCCCCGGCCUGCAGCCUGUAAGCAGGGUCCAGGCCCCCUUGCUUCUCCGGGUUGGGUCUCGUCCCACUCGGUGAGGUUGGCCACAGAUGAUCCCCACAGACUGCAGGGAAGGUUGCAGGCUUGUGGAGGAAACUGGGUGCGCUGGGACCCCUGACGCUUCGUGACCUUCCUGUAACUCGGGUCCAGGUCUCUGCUCUGCUGCUCCUGGCACCAUUGAGAUGGUCUCCUCUCACACCCUGUAAACAGGGCUGCGCCCCGCCCAACCCCUCUGACCUUGUGGGAGGAGGCCUCCUUUAGCCCUUUGGGCUCUGUGCCCAUCAUGAUAGGUGGCUGAAGCCAUAACCUUUGUGUCCCCAGACACAGGGCUGCUUUGAGCCCUGAUUGAGACCACCUGAGGCACCCGUCAGCUGGCAUUCAGGGCUUUACAGGUUUUCUCUGGGCUUCAUGCCCCGCAGCCAGCUGUGUGCAGCGAGCACCGCCCUGUAAGCAGGGUUGCCGGUGUCUGUGGCCACCUUCAUGGUGCCGUCCUAGCACUUCUGUCCAGAGUCCUGGCCCAUUGCGCUCUGCUCCUGGCUGGCCCAGAUGUCGGCAGCCCAGACCACAGACAUCUGACGUCCCCCAUCUCCACGGAUAGAGGACAGAUCGGCACCAGAUUCAGGCCCUGAUAGGAGCAGCUGGAAAGAUGGCGCACAAGCAGGAGUCAGCGGACAAGGAGGGAGGAAAACCAUGCAAAGGUGCCAGAUGGACGAGCAGCGGGCGAACCACACCAGGGCGGAAAGCCAGGAAAAUGGGAUGCGAAGGGAAAGGACUCUGGACAGAGUGAUCUCCCUGCCUUUAAGUAUCAGUCAUGUAUUAGUCAAAUUUUGUCUGCAUGAGCUCUCUGUAACGCAGUAACGAGCUUGUGCGUUUGAUCCUGUUGCGCUUGUGCGGCAGUUGGGUGGAAGUGGACAACCCUGUAAGCAAGGCGUGUGUCACCGCCACCUCCUUUGUAAAGAGUGUGGAUCUAGUCAGUGGUCUUGCGCAGUGGGGCUGCCCUGUAAGCGGGGCCCGGGCCAGCUGCCAGACAUGACUGCCAGGGGAGCAGCCUCCUGUGAGUAGGGUGCAUGGUGCGUCUUACCGUGUAAGAAUGACAGGCAGUUUGAAUGUUCCUAGCAUUGGACGUCCUGUAAUUGGGAGUCAAAGUCCACUGCUGUUCCCAGCCAGUCGGAGAGGAGCCCCUGUAAGCAGGAUGGACAUAGCCUCUUUCCACUGGCAUAGACAGCCGGAGCAGUCUGCAGCGCUGUGCUGCAGGGCAGCCUCGCAUACUGGAGCCGAGUCUCGUGGGGUGACGGCAAACUCCUUAGACCCCAGAGCUUGAUGACCUUCCCGUGGUCUGGGUUGAAGCCUGUGGCCUCCUCUCUGAUCCUUGUGUCCAGGCACCUGUCCUUUUUCAUGCAUCUAUGCCUGGCACUCCACAUCCAGACAGCUGGGCCACCCUGUAAGGAGGGUGCGAGUCCCACGUUUCUUGGUGGAGGGCUAAAUUGUGCAGAGCUGUGCACCACCCUGUAAACAGGGCCCAGGUCUCUAUGUGCCUUUGGGCACAGCCCUGUCCUUUGCCAGGCCUGACCGCCCCCUCUGUAAGCAGGGCUGUGGGCCUUUCCCUUUUGCCUGUUUUGGGCAGUGUGGCAAGUGAGACGGACCAUGCCCUGUAACGAGGGUGUGAGUCCCGUGUCUCUUGGUGGACGGCUAGAUUGCGCAGAGCAGUGGACCACCCUGUAAGCAGGGUCCAGGUCUCAAUGUGCCUUUGGGGACAGCUCCGUCUUUUGGCUGGCUGUGGCCCUCCUUGUAACCAGGGCUAUGGGCCUUUCCCUUUUGCCCCUCUUGGGCAGUGUGGCUAGUCACACGGACUGUGCCCUGUAAUGAGGGUACGAGUCCUGUGCAUCCUGUUGGACACUUAGGUUCUGCAGAGCUGUGGCCUGCCCUGUAAGCAGGGUUCAGGUCUCUACAUGCCUUUGGGGACAGUCCUGUCUUUUGCCAGGCCUGACGGCCCCUCCUGUAAGCAGGGCUGUGGUCCUCUCCCUUUUGCCCGCCGUGGGCAGCCUGACUAGCCAGGCGGGCCGGGCCCUGUAACGAGGGCGCCGGUCUCAGCCUUGUCGCCCCCUGGGAGCGGAGGAGGAUUUUCAGUGUAAGGCUCGAGGUCAAGCAGUUUGCAGCAUCGAGCUCCUUUCCAGCCUGGGAACACUUUUUACCCUUGUGAGAGUGUGGAGAACGAGAGAGAGGAGCGCCUGGGAGUGAAAGCGUUUGUUAUUUUCUUUUUGUUGUUAAAAUCGCUGCAGCGUACUUUGUUUUCUUCCCAGUGCUGGAAAAGGGGCGAGAUGCGUCCUCGUAGCCUUCUCCUCCCACCUCCAUACCUAGGGGGACGGAUAUCCAGGCCUUUUGGUCUCAGGGAGCAUUAGGCCCCCUCUCUAAUACUUUUGGGCACAUGGCCUCCCUGUAGUUCGGGGUACAGGCCUUAGGCCCCCUCUUUUUGGGGUCCUUUGGGCACUUGGUAGCUCGAUUGCAGUUCCUGCCCUCCUUGAGAGACAGCCACGUGUUCCCCAGCCGAGUCCCUGGGGACGAGUGCCCUGGCACUUGGCCAGCCCUUGCUCUGCGCCCCCGCCCCCGGCCUGCAGCCUGUAAGCAGGGUCCAGGCCCCCUUGCUUCUCCGGGUUGGGUCUCGUCCCACUCGGUGAGGUUGGCCACAGAUGAUCCCCACAGACUGCAGGGAAGGUUGCAGGCUUGUGGAGGAUACUGGGUGCACUGGGACCCGUGAGGCUUUGUGACCUUCCUGUAACUCGGGUCCAGGUCUCUGCUCUGCUGCUCCUGGCACCAUUGAGAUGGUCUCCUCUCGCACCCUGUAAACAGGGCUGUGCCCCCCCAACCCCUCUGACCUUGCAGGAGGAGGCCUCCUUUAGCCCUUUGGGCUCUGUAGCAGCCACGUUGGGUGGCUGAAGUAAUGGCCUUUGUGUCCCCAGACACGAGGCUGCUUUGAGCCCUGAUUGGGGCACCCGUCAGCUGGCAUUCAGGGCUUUACAGGUUUUCUCUGGGCUUCAUGCCCCGCAGCCAGCUGUGUGCAGGGAGCACCGCCCUGUAAGCAGGGUUGCCGGUGUCUGUGGUAACCUUCAUGGUGCCGUCCUAGCACUUCUGUCCAGAGUCCUGGCCCUUCGCGCUCUGCUCCUGGCUGGCCCAGGUGUCGGCAGCCCAGACCACAGAUGUCUGCCUUCCCCACUUUCCACGGAUAGAGGACAGUGGCCACAGGCCCAGAGGAAGAAGCAGAGAAGACAACAGACAAAUAGCAGUUAACCUGUAACCAGGACAGAAAACAGUGCCAGCCCACCGGGAGACAGAGGUCCCUGAAGAGCAGCUGGAGAAGAAGGAACAGAAAGCAGGACAAGAAAGCUCAGAAACAACAAGUGUGGGUUGGUGUGGGCAGGAGGAAGAGAGGCACAUGUUUAAUAUAUGCUUAGAUAAGUACAGAUGGAGACUGUCAUGUGCAUCUCUACACUUUCAAACACUCAGUAGGAGCAAGCUGCUGCAUUCUUCAAGUUGCACCAUGGACUCGGUCUUGGGUUGGCCCUAUUUGUAGGCAGUGAGGUUGAGGCAUUGUGCGUAUUUGGUUGGCCGCGAUUUGUAGGCAGCGAGGUUGAGGCGUUGUGCGUAUUUGGUUGGCUGCGAUUUGUAGGCAGUGAGGUUGAGGCGUUGUGCGUAUUUGGUUGGCCGCGAUUUGUAGGCAGUGAGGUCGAGGCGUUGUGCGUAUUUGGUUGGCCGCGAUUUGUAGGCAGUGAGGUUGAGGAGGUGUGCUAGUUGUGCGUAUUGAUAUGUGGCGGUCUAGGUUUUUGCAGGUUGUUUGCUGUUGCUAGUUUAGGAGUUGAUCAAAAUAGAUGUGACCGAAGGUAGCGUGUAGGGUUUUCUGGGUUGGGUUGUCAGUGUUGGUGUGGAAAUGCAGGUGUGCGCUCAGUUCGGUUAAUGGCUUGGCGGUAGCUUGCUUUAGCCGUAGGUUGUGGGGCCAGUUUGAGGCUGUUUGUGGUGCAAUUUGGUUGCGUCUGUAAAUUGAAGCUCCAUGCGUGUUUGAAAGGGUUCAUCUCCAUCCCCAUACAUGAAGAUCUGUGUCCAAAUGAUCCUAGCGGUAGUUGGCGUGCUUAGUGUCAAACCGGAUGUGCACAAUCGAAGAAUAAACAGUAUAAAAAACCUUUUCACCUUGUGCCUGGUGCUCUUCUACACUGAGAGGACUUGGCCAUUACCCUUUCCUGUUGUGAGCUGGCUGGAGGAAUAAUAAACUUUUUCAUUUUGUCUACCGAUCUGAUCUGUCUUGU